GGAAACCUUUAAUGGUCACAGACACACAGAGCUGCCACCGAGGCUGUACGAGGGGGUUUGGUCGGGGUGCUGCUACUGAUGGAGGGUCCGGCGCCGUCCAGGACAUUCGGCUUCUCCAGGGUUCAUUCGUGACCACUCAGCGAGUGUCCCCCGGUGCCGCUGAGCAUCGCCUGGGUUCACCAUGCCGUGUCCAGGACCGAGGCCGUCCUGGCUGCUGGGAUACUCCUUGCUCGGACAGAGGGGCCGAGUCCCAUUGCUGCUGGAGCUGCUCCGCUUCCUGGGACUCUGCACCGUGCCCAGCUCCCGGGCUCGCCUGCUGCCCUCGCCUUCCCAGGGAGGCUGCGUGGUGCCUCCGAGGAACCCGGGCCCUGCCGGGGGUUUCGCCUGCGAACGGGCAGCUGCUGCUUGGCUUAGCAGAGCUGCGCCUGGACAGCAGCGCGCUCCCGCAUGGAGACACAGGCACACGGCUGGAUGGACCGAUGGGCACACGGGCGGUCCGAUGGGCACACGGCUGGACAGCCACACAGACAGACUGAUGCACACACAGACGGACUGGACUGAUGGGCACACGGACAAGCCGACAGAUCCAUGGAUGGGCCAACAGGCGCGUGGACAGUCUGGUGGGCACACGGAUGCACAGGUCGACGGGCACACCGACACACCAACAGGCACACGGACGGACCGACGGGCACACGGAUGGACCGACGGACACACAGACGGACCGACAGGCGCUCCCGAGGCUGCGGCUCUGGGUGGCCCCGUCCCGCGGUGCGGGGCGCACGGCAGCCCGGCCCGACCCGACCCCGCCACCGCCCGGUUCGCUCCCCGCCGCUCCGGUCCGCAGCACCCUGGACAGCGGCGGGGGAGGGCGGGGAGACGGGGCGGCCCCGGUGCCCCCCCCCCAAUCCCCCGGUGCCUCCGUCCCCGAUGCCCCCGGUCCGUGAUCCCCGGUUUCUCCAUCCCGUGCGCUCCGUGGUCCCUCCUUCCCGGUGCCGGCAUCCCGUGCGCUCCGCGGUGCCCUCGGUCCCUCCUUCCCGGUGCCGGCAUCCCGGGAGCUCCGCGGUGCUUCCAUCCCGGUGCCAGCAUCCCGAGCGCUCCGCGGUGCCCUCGGUCCCUCCAUCCCGGUGCCGGCAUCCCGAGCGCUCCGCGGUGCCCUCGUUCCCUCCAUCCCGGUGCCGAAAUCCCGAGCGCUGCCCGGUGCUGCCGGCGCGGGCGGUCUCUCCGUGCGCCCCGUCGGCGGGCGGCGCCUCAGGGGCCGCCCUGGUGCUCCCAGGGCACCGGGUCGCUCUCCUCGCCGUCGGCCGCCUUCCUGCGCUCCUGCCAGAAGAGCUCCACGUCGGGCGGCGCCUGCUCGCCGCCCGCCG
rnacentral:lncRNA from 1 species